rnacentral:rRNA from 1 species
AGAGUUUGAUCCUGGCUCAGGACGAACGCUGGCGGCGCGCCUAACACAUGCAAGUCGAACGAGCGAGAGAGAGCUUGCUUUCUCGAGCGAGUGGCGAACGGGUGAGUAACGCGUGAGGAACCUGCCUCAAAGAGGGGGACAACAGUUGGAAACGACUGCUAAUACCGCAUAAGCCCACGGGUCGGCAUCGACCAGAGGGAAAAGGAGCAAUCCGCUUUGAGAUGGCCUCGCGUCCGAUUAGCUAGUUGGUGAGGUAACGGCCCACCAAGGCGACGAUCGGUAGCCGGACUGAGAGGUUGAACGGCCACAUUGGGACUGAGACACGGCCCAGACUCCUACGGGAGGCAGCAGUGGGGAAUAUUGCACAAUGGGGGAAACCCUGAUGCAGCGACGCCGCGUGGAGGAAGAAGGUCUUCGGAUUGUAAACUCCUGUUGUUGAGGAAGAUAAUGACGGUACUCAACAAGGAAGUGACGGCUAACUACGUGCCAGCAGCCGCGGUAAAACGUAGGUCACAAGCGUUGUCCGGAAUUACUGGGUGUAAAGGGAGCGCAGGCGGGAAGACAAGUUGGAAGUGAAAUCCAUGGGCUCAACCCAUGAACUGCUUUCAAAACUGUUUUUCUUGAGUAGUGCAGAGGUAGGCGGAAUUCCCGGUGUAGCGGUGGAAUGCGUAGAUAUCGGGAGGAACACCAGUGGCGAAGGCGGCCUACUGGGCACCAACUGACGCUGAGGCUCGAAAGUGUGGGUAGCAAACAGGAUUAGAUACCCUGGUAGUCCACACCGUAAACGAUGAUUACUAGGUGUUGGAGGAUUGACCCCUUCAGUGCCGCAGUUAACACAAUAAGUAAUCCACCUGGGGAGUACGACCGCAAGGUUGAAACUCAAAGGAAUUGACGGGGGCCCGCACAA